rnacentral:rRNA from 1 species
GGAUAGGGUGGGUUGCAGCUUAAAAGCUCGUAGUUGGAUUUCGGGCUGUGGUUCCAGACGGUCCGCCUAUGGUGAGUACUGCUGCGGCCCUCCUUUCUGCUGGGAACAGGCUCCUGGGCUUCACUGUCCGGGACUCGGGUUCAGCGAUGAUCUUUGAGUAAAUUAGAGUGUUCAAAGCAAGCCUAUGCUCUGAAUACUUUACCAUGGAAUAUCGCGAUAGGACUCUGGCCUAUCUCGUUGGUCUGUAAGACCGGACUAAUGAUUAAAAAGGACAGUCGGGGGCAUUCGUAUUUCAUUGUCAGAGGUGAAAUUCUUGGAUUUAUGAAAGACAAACUACUGCCAAAGCAUUUGCCAAGGAUGUUUUCAUUAAUCAAGAACAAAAGUUGGGGGCUCGAAGACGAUUAUAUACCGUCGUAGUCUCAACCAUAAACGAUGCCGACUAGGGAUUGGAGGAUGUUCUUUUGAUGACUUCUCCUCCACCUUAUGAGAAAUCAAAGUUUUUGGGUUCCCGGGGGAGUAUGGGCACA